rnacentral:rRNA from 1 species
UAGGGAAUCUUCCGCAAUGGACGCAAGUCUGACGGAGCAACGCCGCGUGAGUGAAGAAGGAUUUCGGUUCGUAAAACUCUGUUGUUAGAGAAGAACAGCGCAUAGAGUAACUGUUAUGCGUGUGACGGUAUCUAACCAGAAAGCCACGGCUAACUACGUGCCAGCAGCCGCGGUAAUACGUAGGUGGCAAGCGUUGUCCGGAUCUAUUGGGCGUAAAGCGAGCGCAGGCGGUCAAUUAAGUCUGAUGUGAAAGCCCCCGGCUCAACCGGGGAGGGUCAUUGGAAACUGGUUGACUUGAGUGCAGAAGAGGAGAGUGGAAUUCCAUGUGUAGCAGUGAAAUGCGUAGAUAUAUGGAGGAACACCAGUGGCGAAGGCGACUCUCUGGUCUGUAACUGACGCUGAGGUUCGAAAGCGUGGGUAGCAAACAGG